rnacentral:rRNA from 1 species
CCUACGGGAGGCACCAGUGGGGAAUAUUGCACAAUGGGCGCAAGCCUGAUGCAGCCAUGCCGCGUGUGUGAAGAAGGCCUUCGGGCUGUAAAGCACUUUCAGCGGGGAGGAAGGCGUUAAGAUUAAUAACCUUGGCGAUUGACGUUACCCGCAGAAGAAGCACCGGCUAACUCCGUGCCAGCAGCCGCGGUAAUACGGAGGGUGCAAGCGUUAAUCGGAAUUACUGGGCGUAAAGCGCACGCAGGCGGUCUGUCAAGUCGGAUGUGAAAUCCCCGGGCUCAACCUGGGAACUGCAUUCGAAACUGGCAGGCUUGAGUCUUGUAGAGGGGGGUAGAAUUCCAGGUGUAGCGGUGAAAUGCAUAGAGAUCUGGAGGAAUACCGGUGGCGAAGGCGGCCCCCUGGACAAAGACUGACGCUCAGGUGCGAAAGCGUGGGGAGCAAACAGGAUUAGAUACCCGAGUAGUC